rnacentral:rRNA from 1 species
CCUGGUGCUUGCACCGSGUGGAUGAGUGGCGAACGGGUGAGUAAUACGUGAGUGACCUGCCUUUGACUCUGGGAUAAGCCUGGGAAACUGGGUCUAAUACCGGAUGCGACUACUGCCCGCAUGGGCUGGUGGUGGAAAGGGUUAUGUACUGGUCUUAGAUGGGCUCACGGCCUAUCAGCUGGUUGGUGGGGUAAUGGCCUACCAAGGCGACGACGGGUAGCCGGCCUGAGAGGGUGACCGGCCACACUGGGACUGAGACACGGCCCAGACUCCUACGGGAGGCAGCAGUGGGGAAUAUUGCACAAUGGGCGCAAGCCUGAUGCAGCGACGCCGCGUGAGGGAUGACGGCCUUCGGGUUGUAAACCUCUUUCAGCAGGGAAGAAGCGGAAGUGACGGUACCUGCAGAAGAAGCGCCGGC